GUGUACCCGCGGCUAGACGGAAAGACCCCGUGAACCUUUACUAUAGCUUGACACUGAACAUUGAGCCUUGAUGUGUAGGAUAGGUGGGAGGCUUUGAAGCGUGGACGCCAGUCUGCGUGGAGCCAACCUUGAAAUACCACCCUUUAAUGUUUGAUGUUCUAACGUUGGCCCCUGACCGGGGUUGCGGACAGUGUCUGGUGGGUAGUUUGACUGGGGCGGUCUCCUCCCAAAGCGUAACGGAGGAGCACGAAGGUUAGCUAAUCCUGGUCGGACAUCAGGAGGUUAGUGCAAUGGCAUAAGCU
rnacentral:rRNA from 1 species